rnacentral:rRNA from 1 species
CGGGGUGCAGCAGGCGCGAAAACUUUGCAAUAAGCGAAAGCUUGACAGGGCUAUCCCGAGUGCCAUCCGCUGAGGAAGGCUUUUACCCAGUCUAGAACGCUGGGGGAAUAAGGAGAGGGCAAGUCUGGUGUCAGCCGCCGCGGUAAUACCAGCUCUCCGAGUGGUGUGGAUGUUUAUUGGGCCUAAAGCAUCCGUAGCUGGCUAAGUUAGUCCCCUGUUAAAUCCACCGAAUUAAUCGUUGGAUUGCGGGGGAUACUGCUUGGCUAGGGGACGAGAGAGGCAGACGGUAUUUCCGGGGUAGGGGUGAAAUCCUAUAAUCCCGGGAAGACCACCAGUGGCGAAGGCUGUCUGCUAGAACGCGCCCGACGGUGAGGGAUGAAAGCUGGGGGAGCGAACCGGAUUAGAUACCCGGGUAGUCCCAGCUGUAAACGAUGCAGACUAGGUGUUUGAACGGCCACGUGCCGUUCUAGUGCCGCAGGGAAGCUGUUAAGUCUGCCGCCUGGGGAGUACGAUCGCAAGAUUGAAACUUAAAGGAAUUGGCGGGG